rnacentral:rRNA from 1 species
UACGAAGGGGGCUAGCGUUGCUCGGAAUCACUGGGCGUAAAGGGCGCGUAGGCGGCCAUUCAAGUCGGGGGUGAAAGCCUGUGGCUCAACCACAGAAUUGCCUUCGAUACUGUUUGGCUUGAGUUUGGUAGAGGUUGGUGGAACUGCGAGUGUAGAGGUGAAAUUCGUAGAUAUUCGCAAGAACACCAGUGGCGAAGGCGGCUCACUGGCCCGGAACUGACGC